CUAGUACGAGAGGACCGGGAAGGACGCACCUCUGGUGUACCAGUUAUCGUGCCUACGGUAAACGCUGGGUAGCCAAGUGCGGAGAGGAUAAUUGCUGAAAGCAUAUAAGUAGUAAGCCCACCCCAAGAUGAGUGCUCUCUCCUCCGACUUCCCUAGAGCCUCCGGUAUCACAGCCGAGACAGCGACGGGUUCUCCACCCAU
rnacentral:rRNA from 1 species